CGCGUAGGUGGUUUGUUAAGUCAGAUGUGAAAUCCCCGGGCUCAACCUGGGAAUUGCAUUUGAUACUGGCAGGCUAGAGUAUGGUAGAGGGAAGUGGAAUUCCGGGUGUAGCGGUGAAAUGCGUAGAUAUCCGGAAGAACACCAGUGGCGAAGGCGGCUUCCUGGACCAAUACUGACGCUGAGGUGCGAAAGCGUGGGGAGCAAACA
rnacentral:rRNA from 1 species